rnacentral:lncRNA from 1 species
GCUGGCAUAUUAGCUCUUCUCUACAAACCUCCUCAACCCUCCUGCUUCAAAAAUAAAGAAAUUAUAUGCCAGAUGUCAAGUAAUUAGAUCUAAAUCCUUAAGGAGUCCAGAAGAGAUGCCAACUCCAUUCGGUAUACCCCAAAGUUUUCUGAUGACAAAACUGAAGAUCAGUAAGAUUAAGUGACUUGCUCUCAAGAUCACAAAGGGAGGAGGAACCAAAUUGAUUCCCUCUAAAUUGAUCUGCCCUGUCCAGAUGGUAUGGAUACUAAUGAGUCUUCGAGACUACUUCCAAGAGCAAGGUAAGUGAUUUAAAAGGUGAUUCAAAGGGGUGUGGCUGACACUGGCAAAUGAGC